CCCCUCCCGGCAGAGUGAGAACAGACUUUCUGGAAGGGAAUUUCGCCAGGAAAACUAAGAGAAGAUUAGCUUUUGCCCAAAUGCAGAGAGGCACGCACCCACCCAGGGAGCACCCAGAGGCUAUGGAGUGGAGGUGGCCUCGCUCGAGGAAGCUCUUGCUCGCGGAAGCUCUUGCUCGCCUGGCUGAGGGCCCCACGCGGCAGAGGCAUGAGAGUCCUGCCGCUGCUCUGCUUGGCCGCGCUAGCCACCAGCAGCUCCGCGAAGCAGGAGAAAGAGCCGGUGUCCCAGCUGCAAGCUGACUUCACCCUGUUGGACAGGGGGUCAGGCCUCAGGGUAGAGGUGUUCUGCCAGGCAUCCUCGGGCAGCCCACCCGUCACCUACAGACUGGUCAGGAGGAGCGGGCACAUCCACAUGCAGCAGACUCGGAACCCUGGGCAGCCAGCCAACUUCUCCUUCCCACUGAACCAGACGUCGGACUGGUUCCGGUGCCAGGCUGAAAACGACGUCAGCGUCCAGCACACUCCCUUCACACUGGUGCCCCCAGGAGAGCUGCCCCAGGGACCCACCUUCGUGCUGGCUGGCUGCCUUAUCUCCAUCAUAGCCAUCUUUUCUUGGAAACUGAGAUGGACCAAGCAGAUCAGUUUCAGGAGGAAGCAGCAAACAGAAAAAAAACAAGAACCAAUUAGAACCAACUAGACUCAAGAUGGCGGAGGAUUUGACUUCCAAUAGAUCUAGAGCCUUAUUACACGCUCCAUACAUUAGCUAAAUGACACACCCACCAGCACCAGGACAGCUGGCGAUCACCAUGAUGACAAACCGAAAAGCUCCUACAAGGACUGAAAAGGAGAGUUGCAUCAGUUCCAGGUCGUGACCAGAAGACGCAGGCUGGGCAGAGUCCCCAGGAGAGCCCUGGUCCUUGUCCCCUACAGAAGGACCCACCAUUUGAAGAAAUGAAAUGAAGAAAAGAAUGAAGAAAAAG